AACGAACGUUGGCGGCGCGCCUAACACAUGCAAGUCGCACGAGAAAGGGAGCAAUCCCCGGUACAGUGGCGCACGGGUGAGUAACACGUGGAUAAUCUUCCCUCGAGCGGGGGAGUAACCUUCCGAAAGGAGGGCUAAUACCGCAUAAGACCACAGCGAGUUCGCUCGCAGCGGUCAAAGCUGGCCUCUACAUGUAAGCUAGCACUUGAGGAUGAGUCCGCGGCCCANCAGCUAGUUGGUAGUGUAAAAGAACUACCAAGGCGUAGACGGGUAGGCUGGUCUGAGAGGAUGAUCAGCCACACUGGAACU
rnacentral:rRNA from 1 species